UAACUGGAGAGUUUGAUCCUGGCUCAGAACGAACGUUAGCGGCGCGCCUAACACAUGCAAGUCGAGCGAGAAAGGGCUUCGGCCCCGGUAAAGCGGCGCACGGGUGAGUAACACGUAGGUAACCUACCCUCUGGUGGUGGAUAACCUUCCGAAAGGAGGGCUAAUACAGCAUAAGACCACGGUCUCGCAAGAGAUUGAGGUAAAAGCGGGCCUCUUCAUGAAAGCUCGCACCAGGGGAUGGGCCUGCGGCCCAUCAGCUAGUUGGUAGGGUAAUGGCCUACCAAGGCGAAGACGGGUAGCUGGUCUGAGAGGAUGAUCAGCCACACUGGAACUGAGACACGGUCCAGACUCCUACGGGAGGCAGCAGUGGGGAAUCUUGCGCAAUGGGCGAAAGCCUGACGCAGCGACGCCGCGUGAGUGAUGAAGGCCUUCGGGUUGUAAAGCUCUGUGGAGGGGGACGAAUAAGUGUCGUCGAAUAGACGGCAUGAUGACGGUACCCCUUUAGCAAGCACCGGCUAACUCUGUGCCAGCAGCCGCGGUAAGACAGAGGGUGCAAACGUUGUUCGGAAUUACUGGGCGUAAAGCGCGUGUAGGCUGCUCGGAAAGUCGGAUGUGAAAGCCCUGGGCUCAACC
rnacentral:rRNA from 1 species